GAUGAACGCUGGCGGCGUGCCUAAUACAUGCAAGUCGAGCGAACGGACGAGAAGCUUGCUUCUCUGAUGUUAGCGGCGGACGGGUGAGUAACACGUGGAUAACCUACCUAUAAGACUGGGAUAACUUCGGGAAACCGGAGCUAAUACCGGAUAAUAUUUUGAACCGCAUGGUUCAAAAGUAAAAGACGGUCUUGCUGUCACUUAUAGAUGGAUCCGCGCUGCAUUAGCUAGUUGGUAAGGUAACGGCUUACCAAGGCGACGAUGCAUAGCCGACCUGAGAGGGUGAUCGGCCACACUGGAACUGAGACACGGUCCAGACUCCUACGGGAGGCAGCAGUAGGGAAUCUUCCGCAAUGGGCGAAAGCCUGACGGAGCAACGCCGCGUGAGUGAUGAAGGUCUUCGGAUCGUAAAACUCUGUUAUUAGGGAAGAACAUAUGUGUAAGUAACUGUGCACAUCUUGACGGUACCUAAUCAGAAAGCCACGGCUAACUACGUGCCAGCAGCCGCGGUAAUACGUAGGUGGCAAGCGUUAUCCGGAAUUAUUGGGCGUAAAGCGCGCGUAGGCGGUUUUUUAAGUCUGAUGUGAAAGCCCACGGCUCAACCGUGGAGGGUCAUUGGAAACUGGAAAACUUGAGUGCAGAAGAGGAAAGUGGAAUUCCAUGUGUAGCGGUGAAAUGCGCAGAGAUAUGGAGGAACACCAGUGGCGAAGGCGACUUUCUGGUCUGUAACUGACGCUGAUGUGCGAAAGCGUGGGGAUCAAACAGGAUUAGAUACCCUGGUAGUCCACGCCGUAAACGAUGAGUGCUAAGUGUUAGGGGGUUUCCGCCCCUUAGUGCUGCAGCUAACGCAUUAAGCACUCCGCCUGGGGAGUACGACCGCAAGGUUGAAACUCAAAGGAAUUGACGGGGACCCGCACAAGCGGUGGAGCAUGUGGUUUAAUUCGAAGCAACGCGAAGAACCUUACCAAAUCUUGACAUCCUUUGACAACUCUAGAGAUAGAGCCUUCCCCUUCGGGGGACAAAGUGACAGGUGGUGCAUGGUUGUCGUCAGCUCGUGUCGUGAGAUGUUGGGUUAAGUCCCGCAACGAGCGCAACCCUUAAGCUUAGUUGCCAUCAUUAAGUUGGGCACUCUAAGUUGACUGCCGGUGACAAACCGGAGGAAGGUGGGGAUGACGUCAAAUCAUCAUGCCCCUUAUGAUUUGGGCUACACACGUGCUACAAUGGACAAUACAAAGGGCAGCGAAACCGCGAGGUCAAGCAAAUCCCAUAAAGUUGUUCUCAGUUCGGAUUGUAGUCUGCAACUCGACUACAUGAAGCUGGAAUCGCUAGUAAUCGUAGAUCAGCAUGCUACGGUGAAUACGUUCCCGGGUCU
rnacentral:rRNA from 1 species